AUAUCAAAUUUUACAUGCCAAGGCAAUAGUCAGACACUGUUUCAAAACACCAAAAGAAAAAAAUACACUUAACUUUCAUAAAUAUUCUUGGAAUUUAUAUCUAACUAUAUGUGGCCUGCAGAGCCCCAUGGAGCAAAGGCGUGAGGCAAAUGAAAGUUCAGUUGAGCUCCAUGUACAGUUAAAACAUGUAGCUAACCAGGUCCAUAGUUCCAGUGGGCUUCUCCAGAUAACCAGGCAACUGCCGGUCCCACCUGGGCAGGAAAAGCUGCCCUAACAGCUCAUGGGUGGCCACAGCAACUGGAGCAUUGAGGACUCACUGGUGUGCUUUAGUGGCUCUGGGACUAGGUCCAGGCAAUGGUCUUUUUAUAGCCAUCUAACCCCUAACAGGAAUGAAGAUUCCCCACUGCCUAAAAACCAAGAGUGAUGGGACAACCAGUAGCUUUGCAUACCCAAAGUGAAGAAACUCAAAGAAACCAAAUGGGUUUAUUCUCCUGGGCCAAGUGCAGAUAAAACCGUGGUGCUGAAUGGCCAGAGCUAUUUUCUGAAACUUUCUGGGUGUCCUCAGGAAUGAGUCACUAUCUGGUUUUCUGAUCCCUUCAGAGAUCAGAUGGAUGGACAGGAGCACUGCUUCUCAGAUACUCAAGGAGUCGCUCGGAACUGUUUAAACACAGGUUCUGGAUUAGUGGGGGGGGGUCCCCCAUGCAUCCCGAUCUCUAGAGCCCUGAUAUGCUCCCAUGGCUUUUCUGUUCAUCAUUCAGUCCAACCCAUGUGUUGUAUUAUUGUAUCUAUGACCAUCAUUAUAACAAUGAAUGAAGCCACCACUACCAACUGUCAGGUCCACACCUCAUGAGGUAAGUCCAAGCCAUCAAUUUAAAUGAUGGUAGCUUUUUUUGAUAUUCAUUUGUUAUAAAGCAAUCCAUUCAGCAAUUUUAUCUUAUUUAUUUAUUUACAGAGUCUCACUAUGUAACUGGGGUUAGCUUAGAACUCACAGAGAUCCAUCUGCCAGAAGAGGGCGUUGGACCCCCAGGGACUGGAGUUACAGGGCGCUGAUGGAGGUCUGGACAAUCCAUUGCCCUGGUUAUUUUUCCAUCGGUGGAAGCCUCAUUACAUGCUUAUAAUCAGUCACUCAGCCAUAGCUAUGGACUGUUCACCACAUGCCUGCCCACCUCAUUCAGACCGCUUCCAACUUGUCCAGCCGCCCAAGUGACCACUUUCAUGCACUCGGGAAAGGAAAGAUGAAGAGGAAAAGGGGUAUGUUAUAUAAUUUGAUGGAGUCAGCGGGUCCAGGUUGAAAAACCACACUGUGUGAAUUUAAGCAAGUUACUUAACCUCUCUGACUCUGGUCACCUGCGCAGAAUGUCCCACUGAUGUUGGUUUUAAUUGGCAACUUAACACAAUGGAGUACCUCCGGGGAAGAGAGUCUCAAUGAGGGAUUGUCUAGACUAGGUUGGCCUGUGGGUCUGCCAGUGAGGGAUGUUAUUAACUGAGUAUGGCACCACCACUGCAUAUGCUGGCCCGGAACUGAACGGGAAGGAGACAGAACACUGAACAACAAUGCAUCCGCUGGCGCACUGCUUUCCGCUCUGCGCCAUGGAUGCAACGACCAGCUGCUUCUAGUCCCCGCCACGCAUGAGCGGGCACAUGCCACUAAUCUCCCAGUACUCCAGAGGCAGAGGCAGGCGGAACUCUGGGAGUUGGAGGCCAACCUGGUCCAAGCAGCAAGUUCCAAACCAGCAGAUGGAGCCAACAUGGCAAAUACUAGCAUCUGCCCUAUCGAGACCAUCGUGUGCAGACGUUUACAGUAAAAACAUUUCAACUUUUCAAAGCAUUUGAAACAUCUUCACAAUAAAACCUUGGUGGGAGGGAGCCUUCCUAGGGCUGAGGAUACUGCUUAGCAGUAUAGCUGCUUGCCUGGCAUGCAGGAAGCUAAGGGUUUGAUUCCUAGUUCUACAAAACAAGUAAACAAGCCCUUCUCUACAAAAACAAAACCAAACCCUGCAUACCCUUUCUAACUUGAAGUAAAACUAACAUGGUACUUUAAUUAAAAGCAUGUGUUGUAGGGCUAGAGAGAUGGCCCCCUGGAUAAGAGUGCUUGCCAAGAAAACAUGAGGACCUGGGUUCAGAUCCCUAGAAGCCAUAAUAAAGCCAGAUGUGGCAGA